GAUGAACGCUGGCGGCGUGCCUAAUACAUGCAAGUCGAGCGAACAGACGAGGAGCCUGCUCCUCUGACGUUAGCGGCGGACGGGUGAGUAACACGUGGAUAACCUACCUAUAAGACUGGGAUAACUUCGGGAAACCGGAGCUAAUACCGGAUAAUAUAUUGAACCGCAAGGUUCAAUAGUGAAAGACGGUUUUGCUGUCACUUAUAGAUGGAUCCGCGCCGCAUUAGCUAGUUGGUAAGGUAACGGCUUACCAAGGCAACGAUGCGUAGCCGACCUGAGAGGGUGAUCGGCCACACUGGAACUGAGACACGGUCCAGACUCCUACGGGAGGCAGCAGUAGGGAAUCUUCCGCAAUGGGCGAAAGCUUGACGGAGCAACGCCGCGUGAGUGAGGAAGGUCUUCGGAUCGUAAAACUCUGUUAUUAGGGAAGAACAAAUGUGUAAGUAACUAUGCACGUCUUGACGGUACCUAAUCAGAAAGCCACGGCUAACUACGUG
rnacentral:rRNA from 1 species